rnacentral:rRNA from 1 species
AACGUGCCCAAUCGUGGGGGAUAACGUAGAGAAAUUUACGCUAAUACCGCAUAAGAUCUAAGGAUGAAAGCGGGGGACCCGUAAGGGCCUCGCGCGAUUGGAGCGGCUGAUAUCAGAUUAGGUAGUUGGUGUGGUAAAAGCGCACCAAGCCGACGAUCUGUAGCUGGUUUGAGAGAACGACCAGCCACACUGGGACUGAGACACGGCCCAGACUCCUACGGGAGGCAGCAGUGGGGAAUUUUGGACAAUGGGCGAAAGCCUGAUCCAGCAAUGCCGCGUGCAG